CCAGACUCCUACGGGAGGCAGCAGUGGGGAAUCUUCCGCAAUGGGCGAAAGCCUGACGGAGCAACGCCGCGUGAGUGAAGAAGGUCUUCGGAUCGUAAAGCUCUGUUGCCGGGGACGAAUGUAGGCAGUGCGAACAGCAUUGUGUAAUGACGGUACCCGGCGAGGAAGCCACGGCUAACUACGUGCCAGCAGCCGCGGUAAUACGUAGGUGGCGAGCGUUGUCCGGAAUUAUUGGGCGUAAAGGGAGCGCAGGCGGGCGAGUAAGUCUUUCUUAAAAGUGCGGGGCUCAACCCCGUGAGGGGAGAGAAACUACUCAUCUUGAGUGCAGGAGAGGAAAGCGGAAUUCCUAGUGUAGCGGUGAAAUGCGUAGAUAUUGGGAGGAACACCAGUGGCGAAGGCGGCUUUCUGGACUGCAACUGACGCUGAGGCUCGAAAGCCAGGGGAGCGAACGGGAUUAGAUACCCCGGUAGUCCUGGCCGUAAACGAUGGAUACUAGGUGUGGGAGGUAUCGACCCCUACCGUGCCGGAGUUAACGCAAUAAGUAUCCCGCCUGGGGAGUACGGCCGCAAGGCUGAAACUCAAAGGAAUUGACGGGGGCCCGCACAAG
rnacentral:rRNA from 1 species